rnacentral:lncRNA from 1 species
AACGUGUCGCAGAUUCCGAGAGGUCUGUGUCUCCCGGCAGCUGGCUCGGUCCGGCUGGGGUAUCGAUCACUUGACCGGCUGGGGUAUCGAUCACUUGACCGGCAUGACGCUGGAAACACGGCGUCAGAUCUCACGCGCUCCGGCGGCGCCGCAGUGGUUAAAGCUCGUGCGUCAGCGCGUGGGGGGGGAGCGCGCUGGCUCGAGCCGGCCCGGUGCUGGCGAGGGGAGGGGAGCCGCACGCGCAGUGCGCACGGACGCGCGGGGCUCGCAGUAGUGAGAGGAGCGGAGCGGCGGCUUGUGUGCAGUCGGUGCAGAGCUCGGGUCCCGACCCCCCGGACCACGCAUCCCCAGAACCCGCGCCGAACCGCGCCGCGGAGAGGAGCCGCCGGCCAGUGUCCGUGGACUCGAGCAGAGGCUCCGGCUCGGGGCUGGAGCGAUGCGCCGGUGAGACUCGGCGCUGGGCUGCGGAUUCGCCGGGGACGAUGGCGACCUCGGGGCCGGUCUGCUGAUGGACAGAGAUCGCUGAGAGAGAGACGCACACACACCGCCACACACGCAGGUACCCGCCGCUCAGCUCUGUUCCCAUGUAAGGACACGUCUUCCCAGGAAGGUGCUGGAAUGCCCUGAACACGGUUGAGAUUGUUUAGAGUGUGGAACGUGUCAUUUAACUCCUAUCCAGUAAUGCGUUUUAAUUAUAACCUCUGCGUGCGCGCUGGAAGCUUUAAAACAAUCUCUUCCCCCCCCCCAACCAACCACCCUCACGUUUUUUUCCACCCAACCGCAAAAUAAACAGUAAACGAUUUUCAGGCUUCACGUGACCGCCCGCUCUCUAUUUCCCAAUCACAAAUCCACCUCACUUCCGCCAACGCCCCCUUCCCCCGUCCCUAUCUGCCCCCUUAUGAAUAUUCAUGAUAGAGCGCCUCCUUGCCCAAUCAGCGCCGGCCCCCUUAUUAAUAUUGAUUAGGCGCCUGCGCUCUUGUGACGCUGGCUGCCUUGCUGCCGCCGGGCAGCCAAUCACGUCCCGGCUCUAAGCUGCGGUCCCUCAUGAAUAU